GAUGAACGCUAGCGACAGGCUUAACACAUGCAAGUCGAGGGGCAGCACGAUGUAGCAAUACAUUGGUGGCGACCGGCGCACGGGUGAGUAACGCGUAUGCAACCUACCUAUCAGAGGGGAAUAACCCGGCGAAAGUCGGACUAAUACCGCAUAAAACAGGGGUUCCACAUGGAAAUAUUUGUUAAAGAAUUAUCGCUGAUAGAUGGGCAUGCGUUCCAUUAGAUAGUUGGUGAGGUAACGGCUCACCAAGUCCACGAUGGAUAGGGGUUCUGAGAGGAAGGUCCCCCAACUGGUACUGAGACACGGACCAGACUCCUACGGGAGGCAGCAGUGAGGAAUAUUGGUCAAUGGGCGAGAGCCUGAACCAGCCAAGUCGCGUGAAGGAUGAAGGAUCUAUGGUUUGUAAACUUCUUUUAUAUGGGAAUAAAGUGAGGAACGUGUUCCUUUUGUAUGUACCAUAUGAAUAAGCAUCGGCUAACUCCGUGCCAGC
rnacentral:rRNA from 1 species